rnacentral:lncRNA from 1 species
UCUCCUUCCCCAAGACCCCACCUGUAAAUUCCCCACACACGGAUCGACGGCGCCCUUAACCAAAUCCAAUCGCCCGCUGAUUCCGAUCGAGAAAAAUCCUCCGCCGAAACACACCGAUCGAUCUUUAGCCCUCGCGAACCUCCCCCUCCUUCCAAGGUAUGCGCACGCCACCGAUUCCUGUUCUAUACCAAGCUAUUUUUUCAUGUUGUGGGAUUGAUCUUAGAUAUCCCUAUGUCCGAUUCUCGGUUUAGUGGUGCGCUCGUACAAUUUAACAGGGCGAUUU